rnacentral:rRNA from 1 species
UACGUAGGGUCCGAGCGUUGUCCGGAAUUAUUGGGCGUAAAGAGCUCGUAGGCGGUAUGUCGCGUCUGCUGUGAAAGACCGGGGCUUAACUUCGGUUUUGCAGUGGAUACGGGCAUGCUUGAGGUAGGUAGGGGAGACUGGAAUUCCUGGUGUAGCGGUGAAAUGCGCAGACAUCAGGAGGAACACCGGUGGCGAAGGCGGGUCUCUGGGCAGUAACUGACGCUGAGGAGCGAAAGCAUGGGUAGCGAACAGGAUUAGAUACCCUGGUA